UGUUCUCUGUCUGUAUAACAGAACGGGGAAAGAUGGGAAGAAGGUGUUGCCUCCUGUGCUCCUGACAUGUUUGAAAAAAUGUGUCAGGUCUUUUCACAAACAAAAUGAAAUAGAGGUGAAGAAGCUAAAAGUAACCACCAGAACAACACCAGACGCGGAAUGUAUUCGCCAAGUAGAAUUUUUUUUGUCCAACGCCAACACCAGGCUGAAAAGGAAACCAAAU